rnacentral:rRNA from 1 species
UCAGCUCCAUAGCGUAUAUUAAGUUGUUGCAGUUAAAAAGCUCGUAGUUGAAUUUCGGGAUCAAUAUUUCGGUCAUGCCGUUGGUAUGCACUGUUACCAUUGAUUUCUCACCUUCUAAGGAACCGUAAUGCCAUUAAUUUGGUGUUACGGGGAAUUAGGACUGUUACCUUGAAAAAAUUAGAGUGUUUAAAGCAGGCUCACGCUUGAAUACAC